rnacentral:pre_miRNA from 1 species
AGUAUUCUUAUCCUGAAUUUCAGGAUUUUAUCCUGAAUUUCAGGAUUUUAUCCUGAAAAAAAUUAAAUCCAAAUUAAAAUACUGAAAUUCAGGAUAAAAUCCUGAAAUUCAGGAUAAGAAUACU